UACAGAGGUCUCAAGCGUUGUUCGGAUUCAUUGGGCGUAAAGGGUGCGUAGGCGGCGCGGUAAGUCGGGUGUGAAAUCUCGGAGCUUAACUCCGAAACUGCAUUCGAUACUGCCGUGCUUGAGGACUGGAGAGGAGACUGGAAUUUACGGUGUAGCGGUGAAAUGCGUAGAUAUCAGGAGGAACACCGAUGGCGAAGGCAGGUCUCUGGGCAUUAACUGACGCUGAGGAGCGAAAGCUAGGGGAGCGAAUGGG
rnacentral:rRNA from 1 species